AGGACGAACGCUGGCGGCGUGCUUAACACAUGCAAGUCGAACGGUGAACCCCUUCGGGGGGAUCAGUGGCGAACGGGUGAGUAACACGUGAGCAACCUGCCCCUGACUCUGGGAUAACCCCGGGAAACCGGAGCUAAUACCGGAUACGACACCUUCGGGCAUCCGUGGGUGUGGAAAGAUUUAUCGGUUGGGGAUGGGCUCGCGGCCUAUCAGCUUGUUGGUGGGGUAAUGGCCUACCAAGGCGACGACGGGUAG
rnacentral:rRNA from 1 species